rnacentral:rRNA from 1 species
GACAGAGGAUGCAAGCGUUAAUCGGAAUUACUGGGCGUAAAGCGCACGCAGGCGGUCUGUUAAGUCAGAUGUGAAAUCCCCGGGCUUAACCUGGGAACUGCAUUUGAAACUGGCAGGCUUGAGUCUCGUAGAGGGGGGUAGAAUUCCAGGUGUAGCGGUGAAAUGCGUAGAGAUCUGGAGGAAUACCGGUGGCGAAGGCGGCCCCCUGGACGAAGACUGACGCUCAGGUGCGAAAGCGUGGGGAGCAAACAGGAUUAGAAACCCUGAGUAGUCC